GGCGGUAUAGCUCAGUGGUAGAGCAUUUGUCUGCAGAUCCAGAAGUGCCCAGUUCAAAUCUGUGUGCCCCCU
rfam:Gasterosteus aculeatus cont1.016853, whole genome shotgun sequence.